rnacentral:tRNA from 1 species
UGUUGUUACUCGCCUCGGGCGGUUGGCGCAGUGGUAGCGCACUUCCCUGACACGGAAGGGGUCACAAGUUCGAAU